CAAAGAAACCUGCCUCAUAGACUGGGACAACUAUUGGAAACGAUAGCUAAUACCGGAUAACAGUAUUUCUCGCAUGAGAGAUAUUUAAAAGUUGGUUAUGCUAACACUAUGAGAUGGCUUUGCGGUGCAUUAGCUAGUUGGUGGGGUAAAGGCCCACCAAGGCGACGAUGCAUAGCCGACCUGAGAGGGUGAUCGGCCACACUGGGACUGAGACACGGCCCAG
rnacentral:rRNA from 1 species